CGUCCGAGUUGUAGUUUCGAGAGGUGUUUUCCGCGUCGGACCACACAAAAGUUCCUUGGAAUAGGGCUUCAUAGAGGGUGAGAAUCCCGUACAUGGUGUGGACUACCGGGGCUAUGUGAUGCACCCUCAAAGAGUCGAGUUGUUUGGGAAUGCAGCUCAAAUUGGGUGGUAAAUUCCAUCUAAAGCUAAAUAUUGGGGAGAGACCGAUAGCGCACAAGUACCGUGAGGGAAAGAUGAAAAGCACUUUGGAAAGAGAGUUAAACAGUACGUGAAAUUGCUGAAAGGGAAACGCUUGAAGUCAGUCGCGUCUGCUCAGACUCAGCCGUGGUUCUCCGCGGUGUACUUCUGUGCAGAUGGGCCAGCAUCAAUUUUGUUCGCUGUACAAAGGUUGGAGGAAUGUGGCAUCUCUCGGGAUGUGUUAUAGCCUCUGGCUGCAUGCGGUGGAUGGGAUUGAGGUUCGCAGCGCGCCGAAAGGCUGGGAUUCGUCCACACACGCGCUUAGGAUGCUGGCGUAAUGGCUUUAAACGACCCGUCUUGAAACACGGACCAAGGAGUCUAACAUGCAAGCGAGUGUUUGGGUGUAAAAACCCUUGCGCGAAAUGAAAGUGAAAGGUUGGGAAUCCUUUAGGAUGCACCGACGCCCGGUCUUGANNNUACNGACGGAUCUGANGCANANCUUGUAUGCUGGGACCCGAAAGA
rnacentral:rRNA from 1 species